AUCAGAUGCCUGCGUUCUCGUGCAGAGGCUCACAUGACCUCCAAGUCCAGACUGCAUGUGCGUUAGCGAGGCGCCUCAUCCAAGCUUCAGCAAGGUUAUUUGAUCACCCACACCGUGAGCAGGCCGUGGAGAAACUGUACAGCUACCUGAUGCCGUGACGAGCCAAGUAAAACAGCAUUUGCACAUUCGAGGUCAGGCCUGGAAUCCAGACGUGCAGCAUUUACCCCUGUGACGGAAGGAAGCCAGCAUUCCAGCCUUUUAAAUGGGUGGUGGACACAGAGGUGGACGGGUGGCCCUGACAAUGAAACAACAGCCCCUAGGAUGGAAGACUGCCUUCCCCCAGCUCAUUGCACCACCCAACCCGCAAACCCAUUUCUGAGAUCUGCUAUCAGCUCAUGAGAACGGAUACCUCUGUCUGCUUCACCCACUGUGUGCCCUGUGUCUAAAACAGGCCUGGCGAACAGUAGGGUCUCAGUGACUGUACACUGAGUGAGUGAACACUGAAGGGAGUGGGGACACCCGGCUGUCAUCCAGCACUGUCCCAGAUGGAGAACGAAAGGGUCAGGAAGACCUGCUGAAGAUCUUGUGCUUUUGGAAACGUUUCGCUAUUGAAGAGAUCCAAAAUUAAGUCGCGGGAAAGUAGCUGCCCUGAUUUGGGGACAGUCCUAAAUAUAAUAAACUGCUAGGGGUGUGCGGGUCCAAGGCUCUCAGAAGUGUUUUACAUCCUCCCAGCAUUUCCUUCCCUCUCCCUAAGAAACCACACAUUUGAUCUCACAGGUUGAACCCCAUUAGUCACUCAGAGGAUCUCUGGCCCACAAAGGCGACAAGGGAGGAAAAGGGAGACUGAUACCCAAGUACCGAACGGGAGCAGGAGGGGUUCAGGUGGGGUCUCCAAAUCCCAGGAGGAAAAUAACAGAGGCACACACCUGCAUUCAUCCUCCAAGAUAAUGCUGCAGGGAAGAAAACACCUACAACUCAGUGAGGCUACAUCUCAACCCUUAGAAAGAAUUCUCCUCCUCUGUCCCCCAUCCAUGCACACUGCAUCCAGAUUUGAAAGUAAUGUAUUAUUUUCCAUACCUGUUCAGCAAGGAUUCAGAAAACGUGCACUAGUCAAGGUGGUGAGGGUGCAAUGGGACAAGCACUCUCAGAUGCUCCUCUGGAAACGUGUGGAUGAUGCCAUUUUUCUGGAGCAUCCUUUGUACUCAGAAACUGUAAAUUUUAUAGCCUUUGACUUAGUGUUUCUACUUGUGGGAAUUCAUAGAAAGAAAGUAAUCAGAGAUGCUGACAGAGACUUACAUACAUAAUAUCCACUGCGGCAUGUGUAUGAUAACCAAAAAUUGGAAGUGAAUUAAAUUCCCUAUUAAUAAGAAAACUAUAAAGACAAUCAGGAUCUACUAGUCAAUAAGUACCAAACAGCUUAAGAAUCAUGUUUAUUCACGGGUCCCUCAUUAUUUCUUUUAAACUUCUUGUAUCACUGAGGUCGAGGGUCCUCCAUUUCUUUGAGCACUUUUCCCAUUUUAAAGAUAGGAAACAUGGGACGUCAUGGUGCCCACUCAGUGUCUUGUUGCCACAGCUCCCAGAAGUCCUCUCCCACAAAGGCAGGGCUCCCAGUGACCAUGGAAUACAAAACAACUCUCAUCACUACACAUCCUCUGGGACUGUCGUGGCUUUGGCCCAGGAAGACUUCUGGGGCAGCAUAAGAUUGGGGACUGCCACAGUAAGUGUUCAACUACUGCCAAUUAACUCAUUGCUGAGGCUAAUGUCUGCGAUUUCUACAUUCACUUCAGCAUCAAAAAGUAGGUUCUCUGGCUUCAGGUCCUUGUGGAAGAUGCCCUUCUCAUGGCAGUGCUGCACAGCAGGUGGUAGCUGCUGGACUAUGCAUCGGGCCUCUUUCUCUGUAAUGAGGCCGUGGUUCACUAGAUACUCAAACAUCUCCCCUCCCCUAACAGUUCCAGAGGAGUUAGAGUGCCUCUGGUGAGUCCAUCACCUAGAACACUUUUAUGAUAUUGCAGCAAUUCAGGACCUUCAUGCUCUGGGCUUUGCAGGACAGUCUCUGGGGGUGGGAGGAGCUCUGCUGACUCUUGUUAAUGACCUUCCUGAAAGAAGGCAGAGCUUUCAGGUUGACCCCAAUAUGGCCUUAAGCAGAUCUUUCAUUCUAAACCUUCGAGGUCAGGUGGCUAUGAGUUGAUCGAUUCAAUAUGUUGAAGAAAAAAAGCUGUCAACUAAGAAUCCUACGUCUGGCAAAACUGGCCUUUAAAAAUGAGGGAGACAUUAAGACAUUCUCAGUUAACCACAGCUUGAGAGAGUUCUUUACCACUAGACCUGGCCUGCAUGAAGGGGGUCCUUCAGGUUGGAAUGAAAGGACCCUGGGCAGUAACUCAAAGCCUUAUGAAGAAAU